AGUGUGAGGUGGCUCUCUCCUCUCCUCUCCCUCACACAGCCUUCACUGCCUCCUCAGUCUUCACCAGUGGAUACGCUCCAGGCUACGCCAAGCUCAACCAGAGAGGAGGUGCAGGGGGCUGGUCUCCCCAGGACAGUGACAGCUACCCGUGGCUCCAGGUGGACCUGGGCAGCCGGAAACAGGUAGUUGCCGUGGCAACGCAGGGCAGGUACAGCAGCUCUGAUUGGACGACGAGGUACAGGCUGCUCUACAGCGACACGGGCAGGAACUGGAAGCCCUAUCAUCAGGAUGGAAACAUAUGGGCGUUCUCAGGCAACUCCAACACGGAGAGCGUGGUAAGACACGACCUGGCGCAAGGCAUUGUGGGCCGGUUGCUGCGUUUUGUACCGCUGGACUGGAGUGGAGAAGGACGCAUCGGCCUCCGCAUAGAGGUCUACGGCUGUUUC